rnacentral:rRNA from 1 species
GCGGCGGACGGGUGAGUAAUGCAUGGGAAUCUGCCCGAUAGUGGGGGAUAACCUGGGGAAACCCAGGCUAAUACCGCAUACGUCCUACGGGAGAAAGCAGGGGAUCUUCGGACCUUGCGCUAUCGGAUGAGCCCAUGUCGGAUUAGCUUGUUGGUGAGGUAAUGGCUCACCAAGGCGACGAUCCGUAGCUGGUCUGAGAGGAUGAUCAGCCACAUCGGGACUGAGACACGGCCCGAACUCCUACGGGAGGCAGCAGUGGGGAAUAUUGGACAAUGGGCGAAAGCCUGAUCCAGCCAUGCCGCGUGUGUGAAAAAGGCCCUCGGGUUGUAAAGCACUUUCAGUGGGGAAGAAAGCCUUGGGAUUAAUACUCCCGAGGAAGGACAUCACCCACAGAAGAAGCACCGGCUAACUCCGUGCCAGCAGCCGCGGUAAUACGGAGGGUGCGAGCGUUAAUCGGAAUUACUGGGCGUAAAGCACGCGUAGGCGGUCUGAUAAGCCGGUUGUGAAAGCCCCGGGCUCAACCUGGGAACGGCAUCCGGAACUGUCAGGCUAGAGUGCAG